rnacentral:rRNA from 1 species
CCUACGGGGGGCAGCAGUGAGGAAUAUUGGUCAAUGGGCGCGAGCCUGAACCAGCCAAGUCGCGUGAAGGAUGACGGUCCUAUGGAUUGUAAACUUCUUUUGUGCAGGAAUAAAGUGAGGAACGUGUUCCUUUUUGUAUGUACUGUACGAAUAAGCAUCGGCUAACCCCGUGCCAGCAGCCGCGGUAAUACGGAGGCUGCGGGCGUUAUCCGGAUGUAUGGGGUUUAAAGGGUGCGUAUAAGGGCUGGGUGAAAGUUUGCAGCUUAACUGUAAAAUUGCCAUUGAAACUGUUAGUCUUGAGUGCAAAUGAGGUAGGCGGAAUGUGUUGUGUAGCGGUGAAAUGCUUAGAUAUAACACAGAACUCCGAUUGCGAAGGCAGCUUACUGGGAUGCAACUGACGCUGAUGCACGAAAGCGUGGGUAUCAAACAGGAUUAGAUACCCGGGUAGUC